AGGCUGAAUCAUUCCCUCAAGGUCCAGAGCCUGCCCGAUUAUAGCACAUACUGCUUUCAGGUUUGCGAAGCUCUUUACAAAUGCUAUCUCAUUGGCUUCUCAUAACAAUGCUGAGAGGUCCAACUCCCUAGUCACUGCAUCACCUGGCUGCCUGGAUCAAGACCAGAUCUUCUGUUGUUGUAAUUUCCCUCUUCCUCACCUGGAUUUCAAGAUGAAAAGGGAGGCAGCUUGGUGUGAACUGAGCUAAAAGAAGAGAAAUCUGUCUGGUCAGAGAAGGCCCCUAAAGAGGACUUCUAUCUCAGAUGGAAAGAGCCACACAUGAAGGUCCUGUCAGACAAUAUUCUCCUACCCAGUUUGCCAGUCUGGCUCCAGCACAGGGUCUGCCACUGAGCAGCGUGGAAACAAUCCUGAAAUGGCUUGGGAUUCAGGCCAGAUUGCCAGCUGCAGUUUUCAUUUUCUCCUGUCCUCAUUUUAGA